UUUGUAGAUACGGUACCCACUUAUAGAUUUAACCAUUAAUUUCACUUGUCUUGAUUCAGUCCAGUGAUAUGAUUUUAAUGAAUUACCAAUUACCGGUCAAGAAGGUAACAUAUAAAGUCAAACACUCAAACAAAGGAAAAAACAGAUGUCUCUGUUUUUUUCUCUCUCGCCGUCUUGUGUUCUCUCUCUCUACUUCUCUGCUGCGUUCUUUCAAUUCUGCUCGUCGAUCUUCGCCGAUCUUCACCUUGUCUUCAUACAAAUCUCAGGUAACCACUCUUCAUACCUUUUCCCUGAGUUUAUCAUCAAGAUUUGGGUUUUUGAAUGGUGGGUUUGAUGAUUUAUUUCAAGUGAAGGCGAGAGUAGGAUAGGUUUUUUCUUCAUCCCUUUUCCCUGAAUUUAUUGUCAAGAUUUGGGCCUAUUUGAUUGGCUUUUUUUUUUCCUCUAGGAAUUUUCAGCACUAGCAUUAGGAAUGUUGUGAAAUAUGAACUGAAAUUCCAUAAUAGGCAGAUUCGGGUUUUGGAGAAGACACAGGGUUUUUUUGGUUAAAUUGAGUUUAACAUUGGUGAAUUUUCGGAAUUGGGUUUGUUUUAUAAGUAACUAAUUUUGUUGGUUAAGUUGAGCUUAGCUUGUCAGACCAUGUAAACUGAUUGGUGAGUUUUCAGAUACAAGUUUUGGGGAAGUAACUAAUUUUGUUGGUUAAAUUGAGUUUAGUUUUAUUGAGUGUGUGAAUUGGUGGGCGAAUUAUUGGAUUUGGGUUUUAGAGAAUUAACUUGUUUUGAUGAUUAGAUUGAGUUUAGUUCAUUUGUAUUUGCGUUGUGUGUGUUGUUUUGUUGAUUCAAUGUUUGUGUGGUUCAAUUCUUUUGCAGGUAGUAAAGGGGGAAGGAAACAUAUCAAGCUAUGCCCACGCACAUCCUAGUACUAAUGGAAGCAAAUGGUCUAGGGAAGAGAGAUUUAGGAGUAAUGCCAAUGGUUUUUUUUACACGAACAAGCGGUAGCAAAGCAGUGGUAUCAAUCAGGGUCGCGGUGACAUUGGAGUGCAUGAUUCUCGGAUGAAUCCAAAUGAUUUGUGUUUGAAACAGAUAAACAAAAGAAAGAUGAAGCGAAUUCCAAGGGUUUUUGAAGAGAGAAGGAAGAUGGCCAAAGUCAAAAGUUGUCAAAAACUAUUUAGCCUGCAAGGCAUAACAUGUAGCAGCAAAGGUCUGAUUAAAAGGACAUAAUUUUUUGUGGCGAAUGAUAGCUACAGAAAGACCUAGAUCCCCAAAUAGAAAUUUGAAAUCUUCUAUGGGACUCUCACCACAAAGAAAUUUCAAUGAGCUGCACCAAGAACCAUCGCUAAGGGCAACUGAUAAUUCAAGAGCUAGAUGGUUUUUAAGCAAUGAUGGUGCUUCUAGGCCAACAGGACCUUUAACUGUCAAAGGUCCUGAUACUUCAGAGCUAGUUAUGCAGCUUACGCAAAUAGGUGGCAUUGGGCUGAAAAGUUUUCAUCGGUAUAUUUUUUCCCCCUGCUGCCCUGUUUUAGCUUAAUUUAAGAGGGUUUGGUUUGUAUUUGUGAGGUUAUCUUGAUUAACGGUUGUGUAUAAUUCCUGUUGGUCAUUUAAUGUUAUGUAUUCAUCAUGCUCUUUUGAAUGGAAUUUUAAAAGGUGGAAGAAUCUCACACUGUCUGAGGUGGAAAUUUUAUUGUCUUCAAUAAUUAUAGCAUGUCUGAGGUGCAAAAUUUGUUUA